UUUCCACCGGCCAUUUAUAACAGCCGCCGCUCGAGCUCCACCUCAUUCCGCAGACGACGACACGACGACCAGCAUUACCGCAGAGACCCCCUAUCGAAUGCUUUUGGCUACAAACCAACUAAGUAGAGUGUUUUCCAUACUCGUAUUUGUUGAAUAAAGGACAGUGAUACAUUCUCGAGUCGCUUUCUCGACUCUUUAGUUCAGUUUUCUUCGACUGUAUCGAAACAAGGAUUCAAGCUUCGGACGCCAGUGGCAGUAAAAAGAAUGAUGGCCAAAGAAGCACGCCUCCAUUCAGACAUGGCACACGCUCGUCAGAGCGAUGGCCUCAAUGUGAUCUUCGAUCAAAAGAGUCCUACAUCGCGCUGCUCCCGCUCCCGGUCAAGAAGCAGCAGCAGCAGUAGUAGCAGGAGCACCAGCAGAGGCAGUCGACGUUCAUCAGGCUCCAGUGUUUACAGGGGACGUGUGCGCGACAGGCGACGAAACAGAUCCUCAUCCUCAAGCCGCUCAUCCUCCCGCCGUUCCAGAUCACGCUCUUACCCUCGCUGCUACAGACCAUCCUCUCGCUGUCGAUGUACUCAUACAGACGCAACAGAUCCCGCUCCAGGUCUUCCAGCCGCUGGAGUAGGAGACACGAAAGCCAGUAUAGAUACAGAGUGUCCCGCAGGAGCCGUUCAAGAUCAAGAUCUUCUGAACCAUCUGUCAGACUGAGUGUGCAUGAUAAAAAGGCACUCCUGAUGGCUGCCAAGAACAAUGCCGAGAAGAUCCUUGGAGUGGAGAAGUUGGCGCUUCCUGAGAGUGUGAAACCGAUCCUCGUAGAGGAAUUGACAGAAGCAACACGAUUGUCACCAGAACCAGUGGUGAGGGUGAGACCAACCCCUGAAAAGAUUGCUUCACAGAGCGAUGAGGAAGAGCCUGAUAACAUGUCCACUUCGUCCUUGUCCCCAAAAAGGAAGAUCAUCUCUUUCAGCAUUAAUAAUUCUGUUGCAAAGCCCACAGCGGCAGCUCCAUCUUGUGCGAAGGUAACUCCCAGAGUGGACAGCUAUGAGAGCAGGAAGCCCUACGGCCACUGGAUCCCGGUCAGACAAGGCCGAAACGGCAGGGCUCGCAAACACGCCAAGUCACAAUGUUAGUGGGAAGAGGUGAAGGAAUCGUUCAGGUGGGAUCCUUUCUUUCCCUUUUUCUGUAUUGUGCAAUGUGAAGACCGAAUAAAGAUUUUUCAUCCAAAUCUGAUUCUUCUGUUCUUUGGUUUCAUAACUAUCUGCACAGAGAAUAAUUAUGAAGUAAAGCAGGUGUA
rnacentral:lncRNA from 1 species